rnacentral:lncRNA from 1 species
CGCCUGCUGCAGAAGCUUCCAGAAACUCCCUGAAUGGGGAAAUGGAGAGAGAACCUGAAAGAGCCCCAAACUCGAGGACCUAUUGCUCCCCAAGAAUAACAUCUUCCAGAAGAACUAGACAGAAAACUAGGCGUCUGGGAACUCUGAAAUCCUUGGAGGAGUAGCAUCAUCAUGACCCUCUGUGUUCCUUUUGGCAAAGGACUUGCUCCCAUUGUUUGCUUGUUCAAUUGUCUGUCCGUUAAAUAAAUAAAACCCUUUUCCUAUAUCUUUAAAAUUACGUUGGUUUUAUCAUUUUAUGAUUACAAGUAAUGCUGCAGUCAUCAUUCUUGUACACUCUCAUUGGCCACUGGUGUAUUUCUAUAGGGUGGAGGCCUGGAGAGUAGUUGUUCCAGCAUAGUGUUUACAUAGCUUUUAUUUCAUUCCGUUUUCUUUCCUUUGUUGCUUUAUUAGCUAUAACCGUUUUCUUAUUUCAGAGGCUGCUUUAGG